CCGCCACCGCCGCCACCGCCGCUCCCGUUCCUCUCCAGUCUGAGCCACUGCAGCCAGACGGCACUAGAGGGGGAUAAGGGAACCGCAACGUCACGGGCAGGAGCUGACACUACAAUGCUACUGACACUAUCGCUGUGUGAGGCGAUUGGACAGGCGGGAAGCGGAGAGGGCGGGAGGAGGAUGUCUUAACAGUCUCCCUUCCUCGCCCCCUCCCCCCCGCCCUCGUCCUCCCUUCCUUCUCCCCUCCCUUCCCUUCCCCCUCCCCCCCCAGCCGCAAACGCCUCUCUUUGUUGUCUAAUGCAGAACAAUAAAGACGCGAGACACUUGUUUGUAUCUAUCAACCAGGAAUAAAUCAUUGUUUCCAUA